rnacentral:tRNA from 1 species
UUAGGAAUGGCUGAUAAAAGCAAAAGUCUCUUAAACUUUCUAUAGAUAUAAUUAAUCUUUCCUAAA